GACGAACGCUGGCGGCGUGCUUAACACAUGCAAGUCGAACGAUGAAGCCAGCUUGCUGGUGGAUUAGUGGCGAACGGGUGAGUAACACGUGGGUGAUCUGCCCCAAACUUUGGGAUAAGCCUGGGAAACUGGGUCUAAUACCGAAUAUGACCGAUACUCGCAUGGGUGUUGGUGGAAAGCUCCGGCGGUUUGGGAUGGGCCCGCGGCCUAUCAGCUUGUUGGUGGGGUAAUGGCCUACCAAGGCGACGACGGGUAGCCGGCCUGAGAGGGCGACCGGCCACACUGGGACUGAGACACGGCCCAGACUCCUACGGGAGGCAGCAGUGGGGAAUAUUGCACAAUGGGCGCAAGCCUGAUGCAGCGACGCCGCGUGAGGGAUGACGGCCUUCGGGUUGUAAACCUCUUUCACCAGGGACGAAGCGAAAGUGACGGUACCUGGAGAAGAAGCACCGGCCAACUACGUG
rnacentral:rRNA from 1 species